rnacentral:lncRNA from 1 species
ACCAUACAGGUGUCGGUCACGAAGCAUAAUGAUGCUUCACCAGACUAUUGUCGGUUACGAAACUCAAACAAUAUCAAACAUCCAAAAUAUAUAUUAUAAAUAAAUAAAUAAUUGAUCAACAUUUUAUGUAAUAUUAAUGAUCAAAGUGUUAUGCUUCACCAUACAAAUGUCGGAUAUCACGAAGCGUAAACAACAUUGAAUCAAUUAAAUACAUAAAGAAAUGAUGCUUAUUUAUUUAUUUAAUUAUUAUUAUUUGAUCUUUAUAAGUAUACAAGGUUCAAACGAUUCAUAAUCAUAUAAUAAUCAAAAAUAAAAACUACUUGUGAUUUCAUAAAAAUAGAAUAAGAAUUGCGUACCUCAGUU